rnacentral:tRNA from 1 species
CGGUCAGUCGCUUAACAGUCAAAGCACCGGGCUCAUAACCCGAGAGAUGCGGGUGCAACUCCCGCCAGACCGA